GGCAUGCUUACACAUGCAAGUCGAACGGCAGCGCGGGAGCAAUCCUGGCGGCGAGUGGCGAACGGGUGAGUAAUACAUCGGAACGUGCCCAAUCGUGGGGGAUAACGCAGCGAAAGCUGUGCUAAUACCGCAUACGAUCUACGGAUGAAAGCAGGGGAUCGCAAGACCUUGCGCGAAUGGAGCGGCCGAUGGCAGAUUAGGUAGUUGGUGAGGUAAAGGCUCACCAAGCCUUCGAUCUGUAGCUGGUCUGAGAGGGGCGACCAGCCACACUGGGACUGAGACACGGCCCAGACUCCUACGGGAGGCAGCAGUGGGGAAUUUUGGACAAUGGGCGCAAGCCUGAUCCAGCCAUGCCGCGUGCAGGAUGAAGGCCUUCGGGGUUGUAAACUGCUUUUGUACGGAACGAAACGGGCCUUUUCUAAUAAAGAGGGGCUAAUGACGGUACCGUAAGAAUAUGGCC
rnacentral:rRNA from 1 species